rnacentral:rRNA from 1 species
CCUACGGGUGGCAGCAGUGGGGAAUAUUGGGCAAUGGGCGCAAGCCUGACCCAGCAACGCCGCGUGAAGGAAGAAGGCUUUCGGGUUGUAAACUUCUUUUCUGAGGGACGAAGAAAGUGACGGUACCUCAGGAAUAAGCCACGGUUAACUACGUGCCAGCAGCGGCUGUAAUACGUAGGUGGCAAGCGUUAUCCGGAUUUAUUGGGGUGAAAGGGCGUGUAGGUGGGCAAGCAAGUCAGAUGUGAAAACUCAGGGCUCAACCCUGAGCCUGCAUUUGAAACUGGUUGUCUUGAGUGCUGGAGAGGCAAUCGGAAUUCCGUGUGGAGCGGUGAAAUGCGUAGAUAUACGGAGGAACACCAGUGGCGAAGGCGGAUUGCUGGACAGUAACUGACGCUGAGGCGCGAAAGCGUGGGGAGCAAACAGGAUUAGAUACCCCUGUAGUC